UUGAGUGUCUGCAAGCACUAAUGCGCCGGAUCUCAUUAGAACUCCGCAGUUAAGUGUGCUUAGGCGAGAGUAGUACUAGCAUAGGUGACCUCUUGGGAAGUCCUCGUGUUGCACCCC
rnacentral:rRNA from 1 species